rnacentral:rRNA from 1 species
UACGUAGGGGGCUAGCGUUGUCCGGAAUCAUUGGGCGUAAAGAGCGUGUAGGCGGUCCGGUAAGUCCGCUGUGAAAAGUCGGGGGGCUCAACCCUCGAAUGCCGGUGGAUACUGUCGGGCUAGAGUCCGGAAGAGGAGAAUGGAAUUCCGUGGUGUAGCGGUGGAAAUGCGCAGAUAUCAGGAAGAACACCCGUGGCGAAGGCGGUUCUCCUGGGACGGUACUGGACG